ACAUCAUAGCGGGGAAAAGAAACUACCAAGGAUUCCCCUAGUAACUGCGAGUGAAGCGGGAAAAGCUCAAAUUUGAAAUCUGGCAGCCAUGAGGUUGUCCGAGUUGUAAUCUAGAGAAGUGUCAUCCGUGUUGGACCAUGUACAAGUCUCCUGGAAUGGAGCAUCAUGGAGGGUGACAAUCCCGUCUUUGACAUGGACUACCAAUGCUUUGUGAUGCACUCUCGAAGAGUCGAGUUGUUUGGGAAUGCAGCUCCAAAUGGGUGGUAAAUUCCAUCUAAAGCUAAAUAUUGGCGAGAGACCGAUAGCGAACAAGUACCGUGAGGGAAAGAUGAAAAGGACUUUGGAAAGAGAGUUAAACAGUACGUGAAAUUGCUGAAAGGGAAACGCUUAAAGUCAGUUGCAUUGACUGGGAAUCAGCCCUGUGUACCAGUUGGAAUGCUGGGUGUACUUUCCAGUUGAUGGGUCAGCAUCAGUUUUGAACAUUGGAUAAAGGUAUGAGGAAUGUGGCAUUUAUUUAUAAAUGUGUUAUAGCCUUGUAUUGUAUGCAAUGAUUGGGACUGAGGAAUGCAGCACAGAGAUUUUAAACUCUCAUUUGUGCUUAGGAUGGCUGGCAAAAUGGCUUUAAUCGACCCGUCUUGAAACACGGACCAAGGAGUCUAACAUGCCUGCGAGUAUUUGGGUGGAAAACCCAUAUGCGCAAUGAAAGUGAAAGUUGAGAUCCCUGACGGGAGCAUCGACACCCAGACUUGAUGUUUUCUGACAGUUCUGCGGUAGAGCAUGUAUGUUGGGACCCGAAAGAUGGUGAACUAUGCCUGAAUAGGGUGAAGCCAGAGGAAACUCUGGUGGAGGCUCGUAGCGAUUCUGACGUGCAAAUCGAUCGUCAAAUUUGGGUAUA
rnacentral:rRNA from 1 species